rnacentral:rRNA from 1 species
GUGGGGAAUCUUGCACAAUGGAGGAAACUCUGAUGCAGCGAUGCCGCGUGAGUGAAGAAGGCCUUUGGGUUGUAAAGCUCUUUUGUAGGGGAAGAUAAUGACUGUACCCUAAGAAUAAGGUCCGGCUAACUUCGUGCCAGCAGCCGCGGUAAUACGAAGGGACCUAGCGUAGUUCGGAAUUACUGGGCGUAAAGCGCGCGUAGGCCGUUGAGUUAGUUAAUUGUGAAAUCCCAAAGCUUAACUUUGGAACUGCAAUUAAAACUGCUCGACUAGAGUUUGAUAGAGGAAAGCGGAAUACAUAGUGUAGAGGUGAAAUUCGUAGAUAUUAUGUAGAACACCAGUUGCGAAGGCGGCUUUCUGGAUCAACACUGACGCUGAGGCGCGAAAGUAUGGGUAGCAAAGAGGAUUAGAUACCCCCGUAGUCCG